GGUCAAGCUACUAAGGGUAUAAGGUGGAUGUCUAGGCGUGAUGAGGCGAUGAAGGACGUGGCAGGCUGCGAUAAGUCCUGGGAAGCUGUCAAGCAAGCGUUGAUCCAGGAAUUUCCGAAUGUGGAAACACAGCAUUACAGUUUACGCUGAUAAUGUUACCGAUAUCUGAAUUCAUAGGAUGUCGGGGUGAACGCAGGGAACUGAAACAUCUCAGUACCNNNNNNNNNNAACCGAGACUCCGUUAGUAGCGGCGAGCGAAAGCGGAUUUAGCCCAAACCGUUCCUACGGGAGCGGGGUUGCGGGCACGUUGAAGGAGUUACAAAGGUUUUGGUAGUUGAAUAGUUUGGAAAGACUAACGAUACAGGGUGAUAGUCCCGUAAACGAAGCCAACAACCCUCCGUUACUUAACGUGUACCAGAGUAGCACCGAUGCCGUGAAACUCGGUGUGAAGCUGGGGAGUCCACUCUCCAAGGCUAAGUACUACAUCACGACCAAUAGUGAACCAGUAGGGUGACUGAAC
rnacentral:rRNA from 1 species